rnacentral:rRNA from 1 species
UAGGGAAUCUUCGGCAAUGGACGGAAGUCUGACCGAGCAACGCCGCGUGAGUGAAGAAGGUUUUCGGAUCGUAAAGCUCUGUUGUAAGAGAAGAACGAGUGUGAGAGUGGAAAGUUCACACUGUGACGGUAUCUUACCAGAAAGGGACGGCUAACUACGUGCCAGCAGCCGCGGUANUACGUAGGUCCCGAGCGUUGUCCGGAUUUAUUGGGCGUAAAGCGAGCGCAGGCGGUUAGAUAAGUCUGAAGUUAAAGGCUGUGGCUUAACCAUAGUAGGCUUUGGAAACUGUUUAACUUGAGUGCAAGAGGGGAGAGUGGAAUUCCAUGUGUAGCGGUGAAAUGCGUAGAUAUAUGGAGGAACACCGGUGGCGAAAGCGGCUCUCUGGCUUGUAACUGACGCUGAGGCUCGAAAGCGUGGGGAGCAAACAGGAUUAGAUACCCUGGUAGUCCACGCUGUAUACGAUGAGUGCUAGGUGUUAGACCCUUUCCGGGGUUUAGUGCCGUAGCUAACGCAUUAAGCACUCCGCCUGGGGAGUACGACCGCAAGGUUG